rnacentral:rRNA from 1 species
GUCUACGGCCAUGCUGCCCUGAACGCACCCGAUCCCGUCGGACCUCCGAAGCUAAGCAGGGUCGGGCCCAGUUGGGACUUGGAUGGCAAAUAUU